rnacentral:rRNA from 1 species
GUUAAUCAUCCCGAAAAUAAAAAGAUCUACUUAAAUAAAACCUAUGUUAGAAAUAAAAUUAUUGUAACAAAAAUAAGUUAAAAUAGUUAAGUAGCGGUGAAAGGCCUAUCACUUUUAUUGAUAACUGGAUUAAAAGAAAAUAUAUUUAGUAUAUCUGACAAUUUUAAAAUGAUAAGGUUUUAAAAAAAAUGAAUAAAUUAUAAAAUUAAAGUUAUUAUUUAGUAAAACUAUUUAAUAGAUAGGUGACUAUAAAAAUUAAACUAAUUGAACAUCAUAAGUCAAUCUUUUAUUUGUUUAAAAAAUAAUAUAACACCAUUAAUAAUGUAUCAAUCAGUAAAUAUUUUAAAUAUUAUUAAGGAACUCGACAAAUAUUUUGUACGACUGUUUAUCAAAAACAUAACCAUAAGCAAACUUUUAUGGUGACGUCCGCCCAGUGAUAAUUUUAACGGCCGCAGUACUUUGACUGUGCAAAGGUAGCAUAAUAACUUGGCUUUUGAUUGGAGUCUGGAAUGAGUGAAAUAACGUAUAAAAAUUGUCUCAAAUAAUAAUGUAGUAAAGUUAUUUAAGAAGUGAAAAUACUUCUAGGUAUAAUAAAAGACGAGAAGACCCUUAGAAUUUUUACUAAAUAAUUAAAUUAUCUUUUGUCGUUUUAGUUGGGGCAACUCUAUUUCAAAUAAAUAAAUGGCAUAUAUAAGCUAUUACACCGAUUUAAAUAAAUAAAAAUAAAUUACCUAAGGGAUAACAGCAUAAUUUUAUUAAAUAAGAUUGUGACCUCGAUGUUGGACUAGGUACUGCUAAAGCUAAACGUUUUAUCAUUUAUGUUCUGUUCGAACUUCUUUACCUACAUGAUCUGAGUUCAGACCGGCGUAAGCCAGGUCAGUUUCUAUCUUUAGUAUAGUA